rnacentral:rRNA from 1 species
AAACUUUCAACAAUGGAUCUCUUGGCUCUUGCAUCGAUGAAGAACGCAGUGAAGUGCGGUAUGUAGUGUGAAUUGCAGAAUUCCGUGAAUCAUCGAAUCUUUGAACGCAUAUUGCACUCUCUGGUAUUCCGGAGAGUAUGCCUAUUUGAGGGUCAUU